rnacentral:rRNA from 1 species
UUGGCGGACGGGUGAGUAACGCGUGGGGAACCUGCCCUGUACAGGGGGAUAACACUUAGAAAUAGGUGCUAAUACCGCAUAAGCGCACAGUAUCGCAUGAUACAGUGNGAAAAACUCCGGUGGUACAGGAUGGACCCGCGUCUGAUUAGCUGGUUGGCGGGGUAACGGCCCACCAAGGCGACGAUCAGUAGCCGGCCUGAGAGGGUGAACGGCCACAUUGGGACUGAGACACGGCCCAAACUCCUACGGAAGGCAGCAG